rnacentral:rRNA from 1 species
CCUACGGGAGGCAGCAGUGAGGAAUAUUGGUCAAUGGGCGCGAGCCUGAACCAGCCAAGCCGCGUGAAGGAUGAAGGCUCUAUGGUUUGUAAACUUCUUUUAUAUGGGGGUAAAGUGAGAAACGUGUACCUUUUUGUAUGUACCAUAUGAAUAAGCAUCGGCUAACUCCGUGCCAGCAGCCGCGGUAAUACGGAGGAUGCGAGCGUUAUCCGGAUUUAUUGGGUUUAAAGGGUGCGUAGGUGGUUCGUUAAGUCAGCGGUGAAAGGUUGUGGCUCAACCAUAGAAUUGCCGUUGAAACUGGUUGGCUUGAGUAUAUUUGAGGUAGGCAGAAUGCGUGGUGUAGCGGUGAAAUGCAUAGAGAUCACGCAGAACUCCGAUUGCGAAGGCAGCUUACUAAACUAUAACUGACACUGAAGCACGAAAGCGUGGGGAUCAAACAGGAUUAGAUACCCGAGUAGUC